UAACAAGGUCUCCGUUGGUGAACCAGCGGAGGGAUCAUUACUGAGUUUACGCUCUAUAACCCUUUGUGAACAUACCUAUAACUGUUGCUUCGGCGGGUAGGGUCCCCGUGACCCUCCCGGCCUCCCGCCCCCCGGGCGGGUCGGCGCCCGCCGGAGGAUAACCAAACUCUGAUUUAACGACGUUUCUUCUGAGUGGUACAAGCAAAUAAUCAAAACUUUUAACAACGGAUCUCUUGGUUCUGGCAUCGAUGAAGAACGCAGCGAAAUGCGAUAAGUAAUGUGAAUUGCAGAAUUCAGUGAAUCAUCGAAUCUUUGAACGCACAUUGCGCCCGCCAGCAUUCUGGCGGGCAUGCCUGUUCGAGCGUCAUUUCAACCCUCAAGCUCUGCUUGGUGUUGGGGCCCUACAGCUGAUGUAGGCCCUCAAAGGUAGUGGCGGACCCUCCCGGAGCCUCCUUUGCGUAGUAACUUUACGUCUCGCACUGGGAUCCGGAGGGACUCUUGCCGUAAAACCCCCAAUUUUCCAAAGGUUGACCUCGGAUCAGGUAGGAAUACCCCGCUGAACUUAAGCAUAUCAAUA
rnacentral:rRNA from 1 species